CAGCCGCCGCGGUAAUACGAAGGGGGCUAGCGUUGCUCGGAAUUACUGGGCGUAAAGCGCACGUAGGCGGAUAUUUAAGUCAGGGGUGAAAUCCCGCAGCUCAACUGCGGAACUGCCUUUGAUACUGGGUAUCUUGAGUAUGGAAGAGGUUAGUGGAAUUGCGAGUGUAGAGGUGAAAUUCGUAGAUAUUCGCAGGAACACCAGUGGCGAAGGCGGCUAACUGGUCCAUAACUGACGCUGAGGUGCGAAAGCGUGGGGAGCAAACAGGAUUAGAUACCCCUGUAGUCCCUGUCUCUUAUAC
rnacentral:rRNA from 1 species